rnacentral:lncRNA from 1 species
CUGCACUAAAAACUUCCACUGUUGCUAUUAUAUUUCCAUGUAGAGCCUAAUCAAGGACAGGUCCCUACUGAUGACUUCUGUCCCAUCAAUCUCACAGCUAGAGAUGGUGGGUAGCAAUCUGGCAUGUUUUUUCCUCACUGACCUCUCCCAGUUAGACAAACCUUCAUGAUUGUCGUGUUUUCUCUAGUAAAUUUUUCUGGUAAUUUUUUAGCUAGUGCUUUAAAACCAUGACAGUAAUGAAGGCUGAUUUCUGCACUCAGAUCUUCUUCUUCUACCAAGUCACUUUGUUUUCUAGGUUGUGUAGCCCUUAAUGUGCCACCAGCUCCUUCAACAGCUGGGUUUCUGGGCUUCUUUGGUGAGUAGCUGCAAGCCCAAGGACAGUAAGGUUUGAUCCAGAGUAGCCUUUUUGCUCUUUUGCAAACAUUUUCUGCUUUGCAGAACGGUCAGUUCUAUGUCUUGGCUUUCACCUCAGAGAGUGAGGCAUGAAAGAGAAGAACUGCUGUUCCUGUGAAAGCCCAGCUAGCUUGUAUCCUCAAUAAAGAGGAGACAAAGGCUUGGAAAGCCUUCAGUGUGCACUGUUCCAGGUGCUUGUUGUGCCCCCAGGAUGCUGUAGCUCACUCUGUGGAGAGAGCAGAGCAGACCCAGGUCCUCCCACUGUCUCCUUGCACGGCAGCAGCAGUUGUGGCAUCACAGCAGGGCCCUGUCCCUGUGCUGUUGGUCACAUUGGUGGUGAGAAACAGGCUCCUUCACUGAUGGAUGCACACACCAAGCACCCAUGUCAUGGGAAGGGCGUGGAUGAGCUCCUGACAUGAGAUAUCUCCUUCAGUGCAGCUCUAAGAGGAAAGGGCCUAAGGAUGGAAACAGCCUGAAUAUGUAUUAAGAUGAUGCACACCAAAGCAAGAUGAAUGCUGCCUUUCAAACCUGGAGGAAAAUAACAAAAUCAAGCAGGAGUGAUUUAUGGAUUUUCAGGGGAAGGAAAAGAAAAUGGGUCAUGAAAAAAGGAGAAUUAAUGAGACUAGAAUCAUUCCUGCUAUUAUGUGUUCAGCAUAAAAACUUGUGCCAGUUAUGUGGUGUUGAUACCAAAUUGAAAAAAGAGUUGUUUAUUGAAAAUCUGAGAACAAAAAGAGAGGUUUGGCUGUCGUUCUACAUGGGAAAGUGUUGCAACAUGUAAAACUGCUAUAUAAGUUCAUAAAUAAAUGUUUGUCUAAGAAUUGUCA